ensembl:lncRNA
GACUAACUGCUGUGGACGUGUUUUCUCACUGCUGCCUUUGUCCCUGCGGCUCUGCGCAGGCCUGGAAUCCAAACAUAAAAGCCGCUGCUACCUGCGAGGACACAAAGGAUGACGGGGGGCCGCCGGGGGACCUGCAGGCAUGAGCCAUGAAACAUUUGAGAAAAAAAAAAACCCAAGCGCUUCCCGUCUGAAGCGGGCCGCCGGCUUCCUGAGCGUCGCAGCGGCUCGGGCCCCAGUUUCUGCUUCCCAACUGCCAAGAGGCGCAGGGGCCACCUGCGUGUGUGACGCGGCCCCCGAAGGCCCCGGCUGCACAGACUCACACACUCGCGAAUGAAGAACUGGUUUUGCCUCGACGGAAGCACACCGCGUCGAUCCGUGCACCUCGUGUGGCCCAUCCUUUUUUUUUUUUACUGCAUCUGACGUCUUCAGAGAUGCGGCGAAGGAAGCGACGAACACAACGUGCGGCGGAAUUAUCGCUGCCUCGUGAACUUCUCGCCUGCCCCCAAGUCCUACAAGAGAGGCGUCAACAAGAUGAAUGACCUGUCAGUGUGGGAGUGAGGUGCAUUCCAGAGCUCAAGGCAUUCUUAAUACUCACCAGAUUUCUUAGGAAGAUUGUUACAGAAUGAUGACAUAAUUCAGACACAGGGACAACGUCUCCAUGUAGUAAUUCACGUUGUGUAAAUUCCUUUUCAAACUGGCCUUCGUUAGAUUGUCGACCUCUGACCUGAGUCACUACUUAUUGAUCAUGUCAACCAAAUCAGAGAUAAAUGGUGAAGUGAAAUUAGAUAUUUAGUUUGGCAUUUUAAAUAAGGUAUCGAUUAGAGAUUAGAGAUCAGAGAUCAGAGAUCAGGGAUCAGGGA